rnacentral:rRNA from 1 species
AGAUUAAGUUAUUAAGGGCGCACGGUGGAUGCCUUGGCACUAGAAGCCGAUGAAGGACGUUACUAACGACGAUAUGCUUUGGGGAGCUGUAAGUAAGCUUUGAUCCAGAGAUUUCCGAAUGGGGAAACCCAGCAUGAGUUAUGUCAUGUUAUCGAUAUGUGAAUACAUAGCAUAUCAGAAGGCACACCCGGAGAACUGAAACAUCUUAGUACCCGGAGGAAGAGAAAGAAAAUUCGAUUCCCUUAGUAGCGGCGAGCGAAACGGGAAGAGCCCAAACCAACAAGCUUGCUUGUUGGGGUUGUAGGACACUCUAUACGGAGUUACAAAGGACGACAUUAGACGAAUCAUCUGGAAAGAUGAAUCAAAGAAGGUAAUAAUCCUGUAGUCGAAAAUGUUGUCUCUCUUGAGUGGAUCCUGAGUACGACGGAGCACGUGAAAUUCCGUCGGAAUCUGGGAGGACCAUCUCCUAAGGCUAAAUACUCUCUAGUGACCGAUAGUGAACCAGUACCGUGAGGGAAAGGUGAAAAGCACCCCGGAAGGGGAGUGAAAUAGAACCUGAAACCGUGUGCUUACAAGUAGUCAGAGCCCGUUAAUGGGUGAUGGCGUGCCUUUUGUAGAAUGAACCGGCGAGUUACGAUUUGAUGCAAGGUUAAGCAGUAAAUGUGGAGCCGUAGCGAAAGCGAGUCUGAAUAGGGCGUUUAGUAUUUGGUCGUAGACCCGAAACCAGGUGAUCUACCCUUGGUCAGGUUGAAGUUCAGGUAACACUGAAUGGAGGACCGAACCGACUUACGUUGAAAAGUGAGCGGAUGAACUGAGGGUAGCGGAGAAAUUCCAAUCGAACCUGGAGAUAGCUGGUUCUCUCCGAAAUAGCUUUAGGGCUAGCCUCAAGUGAUGAUUAUUGGAGGUAGAGCACUGUUUGGACGAGGGGCCCCUCUCGGGUUACCGAAUUCAGACAAACUCCGAAUGCCAAUUAAUUUAACUUGGGAGUCAGAACAUGGGUGAUAAGGUCCGUGUUCGAAAGGGAAACAGCCCAGACCACCAGCUAAGGUCCCAAAAUAUAUGUUAAGUGGAAAAGGAUGUGGCGUUGCCCAGACAACUAGGAUGUUGGCUUAGAAGCAGCCAUCAUUUAAAGAGUGCGUAAUAGCUCACUAGUCGAGUGACACUGCGCCGAAAAUGUACUGGGGCUAAACAUAUUACCGAAGCUGUGGAUUGUCCUUUGGACAAUGGUAGGAGAGCGUUCUAAGGGCGUUGAAGCAUGAUCGUAAGGACAUGUGGAGCGCUUAGAAGUGAGAAUGCCGGUGUGAGUAGCGAAAGACGGGUGAGAAUCCCGUCCACCGAUUGACUAAGGUUUCCAGAGGAAGGCUCGUCCGCUCUGGGUUAGUCGGGUCCUAAGCUGAGGCCGACAGGCGUAGGCGAUGGAUAACAGGUUGAUAUUCCUGUACCACCUAUAAUCGUUUUAAUCGAUGGGGGGACGCAGUAGGAUAGGCGAAGCGUGCGAUUGGAUUGCACGUCUAAGCAGUAAGGCUGAGUAUUAGGCAAAUCCGGUACUCGUUAAGGCUGAGCUGUGAUGGGGAGAAGACAUUGUGUCUUCGAGUCGUUGAUUUCACACUGCCGAGAAAAGCCUCUAGAUAGAAAAUAGGUGCCCGUACCGCAAACCGACACAGGUAGUCAAGAUGAGAAUUCUAAGGUGAGCGAGCGAACUCUCGUUAAGGAACUCGGCAAAAUGACCCCGUAACUUCGGGAGAAGGGGUGCUCUUUAGGGUUAACGCCCAGAAGAGCCGCAGUGAAUAGGCCCAAGCGACUGUUUAUCAAAAACACAGGUCUCUGCUAAACCGUAAGGUGAUGUAUAGGGGCUGACGCCUGCCCGGUGCUGGAAGGUUAAGAGGAGUGGUUAGCUUCUGCGAAGCUACGAAUCGAAGCCCCAGUAAACGGCGGCCGUAACUAUAACGGUCCUAAGGUAGCGAAAUUCCUUGUCGGGUAAGUUCCGACCCGCACGAAAGGCGUAACGAUUUGGGCACUGUCUCAACGAGAGACUCGGUGAAAUCAUAGUACCUGUGAAGAUGCAGGUUACCCGCGACAGGACGGAAAGACCCCGUGGAGCUUUACUGUAGCCUGAUAUUGAAAUUCGGCACAGCUUGUACAGGAUAGGUAGGAGCCUUUGAAACGUGAGCGCUAGCUUACGUGGAGGCGCUGGUGGGAUACUACCCUAGCUGUGUUGGCUUUCUAACCCGCACCACUUAUCGUGGUGGGAGACAGUGUCAGGCGGGCAGUUUGACUGGGGCGGUCGCCUCCUAAAAGGUAACGGAGGCGCUCAAAGGUUCCCUCAGAAUGGUUGGAAAUCAUUCAUAGAGUGUAAAGGCAUAAGGGAGCUUGACUGCGAGACCUACAAGUCGAGCAGGGUCGAAAGACGGACUUAGUGAUCCGGUGGUUCCGCAUGGAAGGGCCAUCGCUCAACGGAUAAAAGCUACCCCGGGGAUAACAGGCUUAUCUCCCCCAAGAGUUCACAUCGACGGGGAGGUUUGGCACCUCGAUGUCGGCUCAUCGCAUCCUGGGGCUGUAGUCGGUCCCAAGGGUUGGGCUGUUCGCCCAUUAAAGCGGUACGCGAGCUGGGUUCAGAACGUCGUGAGACAGUUCGGUCCCUAUCCGUCGUGGGCGUAGGAAAUUUGAGAGGAGCUGUCCUUAGUACGAGAGGACCGGGAUGGACAUACCUCUGGUGUACCAGUUGUCGUGCCAACGGCAUAGCUGGGUAGCUAUGUGUGGACGGGAUAAGUGCUGAAAGCAUCUAAGCAUGAAGCCCCCCUCAAGAUGAGAUUUCCCAACUUCGGUUAUAAGAUCCCUCAAAGAUGAUGAGGUUAAUAGGUUCGAGGUGGAAGCAUGGUGACAUGUGGAGCUGACGAAUACUAAUCGAUCGAAGACUUAAUCAAAUU